rnacentral:rRNA from 1 species
AGCGGCGGACGGGUGAGUAACACGUGGGUAACCUGCCUGUAAGACUGGGAUAACAUUCGGAAACGAAUGCUAAUACCGGAUACGCGGCUUGGUCGCAUGACCGAGCCGGGAAAGAUGGAGCAAUCUAUCACUUAUAGAUGGACCCGCGGCGCAUUAGCUAGUUGGUGAGGUAACGGCUCACCAAGGCGACGAUGCGUAGCCGACCUGAGAGGGUGAUCGGCCACACUGGGACUGAGACACGGCCCAGACUCCUACGGGAGGCAGCAGUAGGGAAUCUUCCGCAAUGGACGAAAGUCUGACGGAGCAACGCCGCGUGAGUGAUGAAGGUUUUCGGAUCGUAAAGCUCUGUUGCCAGGGAAGAAUGCUUGGGAGAGUAACUGCUCUCAAGGUGACGGUACCUGAGAAGAAAGCCCCGGCU